UACGGAGGGUGCAAGCGUUAAUCGGAAUUACUGGGCGUAAAGCGUGCGUAGGUGGUUUGUUAAGUCAGGUGUGAAAUCCUGGGGCUCAACCUCAGAAUUGCGCUUGAUACUGGCAGACUCGAGUGUGGUAGAGGAUAGUGGAAUUCCCGGUGUAGCGGUGAAAUGCGUAGAUAUCGGGAGGAACAUCAGUGGCGAAGGCGGCUAUCUGGACCAACACUGACACUGAGGUACGAAAGCGUGGGUAGCAAACAGG
rnacentral:misc_RNA from 1 species